CUUGCCGUUUUUUGAAGGCUUAUACAAAAUAGUUUCCUGCAAACUCAAGUGGCUGGGAAGCCCAGCUGAAGGUUACUUCUACCCCAAGGCCAUGUCAGCAGAAAGUGGCCAACAGGACUUGGGCCUGAAAAAGCUCAGACUGAAUUUUAGGAGUGACAUCUGAAACUGCUGGUUUCUCACAAGGAAUAAAAGCUGUCUGGGAAGCUGGAGAGGCAGUGUGCUGUCUGGAGCAGGGACUUGCAAAUGGGAACAGUGAAGAGAGACAGCAUCUCCUUCCUCUGAAGAUUCUGUUCAGAAUGGAUAAAGGUUCAGCAUCCUCCCUGGAUGGGGCAGCUUAGCAGACCCAGAGGAAAGCACUGGGAGGAAUGAGAAAGUAGCGACUAGACAAAAAUGAAAACUCUUUAAGAAGCAUUGCUGAAGUUACAGGGGAAAAAGAUUAAGACAACUGAGGUUAAGGGCCUGACUCCAGAUCACACAGCAAGGGAGAUGGCAAAAUCAAGAUUUCAACCCAGGAAACCUGCCUCCCAUGCCUAUGUUAAUCACUACACCCUUCCCACAAUAAAUAAUCAAAUAAGCUA
rnacentral:lncRNA from 1 species